rnacentral:rRNA from 1 species
AUUGAACGCUGGCGGCAGGCCUAACACAUGCAAGUCGAGCGAGCGGCGGACGGGUGAGUAAUGUAUGGGGACUGCCCGAUAGAGGGGGAUAACUACUGGAAACGGUGGCUAAUACCGCAUACUGUCGGAUGACCCAUAUGGGAUUAGCUAGUAGGUAAGGUAAUGGCUUACCUAGGCGACGAUCCCUAGCUGGUCUGAGAGGAUGAUCCGCCACACUGGGACUGAGACACGGCCCAGACUCCUACGGAGGCAGCAGUGGGGAAUCUUGCACAAUGGGCGAAAGCCUGAUGCAGCCAUGCCGCGUGGAUGAAGAAGGCCUUCGGGUCGUAAAGUACUUUUAGUAGGGAAGCGGUACCGAAAGAAGAAGCACCGGCUAACUCCGUGCCAGCAGCCGCGGUAAUAC